GUUGAAAAUUCAAAGAAGUCUGGGGCAGCUACAGAUGAGGUCUAUCGUCCAAGUCUGUGGUACUACGACCAGCUUUUAUUCCUUCGUGACCAAGAAACACCAAGAACAUCAUCAUCAGAUAUUGAAGAGCUGGGUAUCAGAAAGGAUGUUGCAGGCCCUGUUAUUACGGUUACCCCUCUCUCGCCGAAGAAAGUUGUGCAAACAUACAGCAAGCCUUGACCACAGAAACUGCAUUCUCUGCAUCGAGAUUUAUGGGGGAAUGGAAUAUGCGGAAUUUAGAAGCUAAUAUUCCGAAUGUACUCUCCACAACGCGGAUAUGAUCGAGAUGGACUGCCAGUCUACAUCCCAGCCUGGAGUUUCAAGACCCCAUCCAUUACCACCUGCAAAACGGAGCCGCCAACCGGGACCGUCAGUGAGCAACAAGGAUGAUGAGGUAUUGGGCAUUAUUGGGGACAAAUUACUGGGAGCACGUGAAGAUGAAUAUGAUUUGUUUGGUAAAUUAAUUGCAAGUAAAUUGCGUAAAGUUGACGAUGAACAACGAAAAUUUGCUCAAAAAUUAAUAAAUGAUGUUCUAUAUGACGCAGAAUUUGGACAUCUUAGGUAUGAUAGUAGGGUCAUGAAUGCUACAUAUAUAUAAUGUCCAAGAAUAAUCGACCAAACAUUAUUGUUUGGAGAUUCAUUGUCCAUUGACAUAAACAAACAAGAGAGUUACAAUGCAUGCUACUAUUAUAGGGCUGUUGUUUUGUGUUGAGCUAUUAGAACAUUCCAUUUAAUACUUCUUACUUUACCAUAGCAAAGAGUAUAUUGCAAUUCUUAUGGUUGAACAUUAUAUUAAUGUUUAAUACAAAUGUUGGCAUCAUUUGAUAAGAUUAAAAAUAGGAAGCAUAUAAUGAACUUCUGCACACCCUAUUUUCUCAUGGGGAGCUUUGGGUAACCUAAAAAUGUAAUGUAUGUGAGGAUACAAAGCUAAUAAUGAUAUAAAUUAAUAUACUAUAAUUAUAGGGUGUAUAAUUAUGCGCAGUAUUUUGUAAUAUUGUUUUCAGCUUCA